GCAGUGGUGGUUCAAUGGUAGAAGGCUUGUCUUCCAUGUGGGAGACCUGGGUUCCAUUCUCAGCCAAUGGA
rnacentral:tRNA from 1 species